rnacentral:tRNA from 1 species
GGAGAGAUGCCGGAGUGGUCGAACGGGGCGGUCUCGAAAACCGUUGAGCCUUCACGGGCUCCGAGGGUUCGAAUCCCUCUCUCUCCGCCA